rnacentral:snoRNA from 1 species
UAGUGUGAAUGAUGAGAUUUAUAUAAAUAUCACAGUUAUCCCUGUCUGAGAAAUCUGUGCUGAAAAUUUGUGAUCUGACACACUU